AGUGAACGCUGGCGGUAGGCCUAACACAUGCAAGUCGAACGGCAGCACAGUAAGAGUUUGCUCUUACGGGUGGCGAGUGGCGGACGGGUGAGGAAUACAUCGGAAUCUACUUUUUCGGGGGGGAUAACGUAGGGAAACUUACGCUAAUACCGCAUACGACCUACGGGGGAAAGCAGGGGAUCUUCGGACCUUGCGCGAAUGAAUGAGCCGAUGUCGGAUUAGCUAGUUGGCGGGGUAAAGGCCCACCAAGGCGACGAUCCGUAGCUGGUCUGAGAGGCUGGUCCGCCACACUGGAACUGAGACACGGUCCAGACUCCUACGGUAGGCAGCAGUCGGGAAUAUUGGACAAUGGGCGCAAGCCUGAUCCAGCCAUACCGCGUGGGUGGAGAAGGCCUUCGGGUUGUAAAGCCCUUUUGUUGGGAGAGAAAAGCAGCAGGUUAAUACCCCGCUGUUCUGACGGUACCCAAUGAAUAAGCACCGGCUAACUUCGUG
rnacentral:rRNA from 1 species